ensembl:lncRNA
CAGAGGUCUGUGCAGUAGCAGAAGCACGCGCCUCACUUCCGGCAGUGUUCUUUCCUGGCCUGGCAGUCAAAACAGUAGGGCGCUUCAGCAUUUUUGUUCUAUGUCCGGGAGCCACAGAAUCCUCCAGGUUUCACCUCCACUCUGAAAUCAAGAAAGAUAGCUGGUUGUGGGACCACAUAUGCGUGAUCCUAGUCCCCAAGAGACUGAGGCAGGAGGAUCUCGUGUUUGAAACCAAGGAGAACUACUUAGAAAGGCUCUGCCUCUGAAAAAUAACAACAAACAAAACCAACGAAGGAAGCAAGCAAACAGGUGUGUGUUUGGCACCUGCCUCUCACUUUUAGUGGAAACUGUUCAAAUCGUUUGCCUAUAUUUAAGUUGAAUUCUUUUUUUAUUAACGAGUCAUGUGUUUACAUUGUAAUUAUGGACUUUUGCCAGAUAUAUGUUUUACUAACAAUUUCUUCCAGAUUCUU